UACGAACCGAGCAAACGUUAUUCGGAAUCACUGGGCUUAAAGGGCGCGUAGGCGGGGUGCAAAGUCCGCGGUGCAAUCCUCCAGCUUAACUGGAGAACUGCCGCGGAUACUGGCGCCCUAGAGGGGGGUAGGGGCAUCUGGAACUGGUGGUGGAGCGGUGAAAUGCGUUGAUAUCAUCAGGAACUCCGGUGGCGAAGGCGAGAUGCUGGACCUUUACGGACGCUGAGGCGCGAAAGCCAGGGGAGCAAACGGG
rnacentral:rRNA from 1 species